ensembl:lncRNA
GUUGAACCAUCCCUGCAUCCCUGGGAUGAAUCCCACUUGGUCAGGGUGUAUGAUCUUCUUGACGAUCUUCUGCAUUCUGUUUGACAGUAUCUUAUUAAGGAUUUUUGCAUCUAUGUUCAUUAGUGCGAUUGACCUAUAGUUCUCUCUUUUGGUUGGGUCUUUCUCUGCUUUGGGGAUCAAGGUGAUGCUUGCUUCCAGGAAUGAAUUUGAGAGUAUUGCUUCCCUUUCAAUUUCCUUGAAGAGUUUAAACAGUAGUGGCAGUAGUUCUUCUCUAAAUGUCUUGUAGAAUUCAGCAGUAAAGCCAUCAGGACCUGGGCUUUUCUUAGUUGGUAAGUUUUUAGUUACAUUUUCAGUUUCAUUGGUUGAUAUUGGGGUGUUUAGAAUUUUUAGAUCUUCUUCAUUCAACUUUGGUAAUUCAUAUGUAUUUAGGAAUCUGUCCAUUUCUUCUGUGUUUUCCAUCUUAUUGGAGUGUAGGUUCUGGAAGUAGGUAUUGAUGAUCUUCUGGAUUUCUGCUGGGUCUGUUGUGACUUCACCCUUUACAUUUCCAAUUUCAUGGAUUUGAGUUUCCUUUCCUUUUUUCAAUAAGUUUGGCUAAGGGUUUAUCAAUUUUGUUUAUUCUUUCAAAGAACCAUCUCUUUGGUUCAUUGAUUUUUUUUUGUAUCAUACUCUUAGUCUCCAUUGCAUUGAUUUCUCCUCUGCUAUUUAUAAUUUCUUCCCUUGUAUGAUGGGUUUGUCAUACUCUUCUUCUUCUAGAAGCUUGAGGUUCAGUAUCAGGUUGUGUAAUUGAGCUCGCUGUGUUUUCCUAAUGUGACUAUUCACUGCUAUGAAUUUCCCUUCAGAAGACUGCUUUCACUGUGUUCCAUAGAUUCCAAUAUGUUGUACUGUCACUGUCAUUUAAUUGUAGGAACUGUUUGAUUUCUUCUUUAAUAUCCUCUGUGACCCAGUGGUUAUUCAGAAGUGUGUUGUUCCACUUCCAUGUGUUUAUGAAAUUCUUGUGGUUUCUUUUUCUAUUCAUCUCCAAUUUCAUUGCAUAUGGUCUGAUAAUAUACAGGGGACAACUUCAAUUUCUUUGCACUUACUUAAACAUGCUCUAUGAGUGAGUAUGUGGUUUAUUUUACAGAAUGACCCAUGUGCAGCUGAAAAAAACAUAUAUUCUGAUUUUGUGAGGUGGAACACUCUGUAAACAUCUCUAAAUUCAUUUGUUCAAGAGUUUAUGUUCUAGUAUUUUGUUGUUUAUAUUUUGUCUAGUUGAUCUAUUUGUGACAGUGGGGUAUUGAGUUCCCCCACUACGAUUGUAUUAGUGCUGAUUUGAUUUUUUCAUGUCAAUUAGUAUUUGUUUUAUAUAGUUGGGCAUACUAGUGUUUGGUGCAUAGAUAUUUAUGAUUGUCAUCUCUUCCUUUUGGAUUGUUCCCUUUACAAGGAUGUAGUGUCCUUUGUCUCUCUUAAUCAGUGUUGGUUUGAAAUCCACUUGAUCUGAAAAGAGAAUAGCUACUACUGUUUUUUUUUUUUUUGGAUUUCUGUAGUAUGGCAUAUUGUUUUCCACCGUUUAACUUUCAGUUAUGAGUUUCUUUUUGAAUUAAGUGUGUUUCUUGUAUGCAGCAUAUUGUUGGAUUUUGCUUCUUGACCCAUUCUGUCAGUCUAUUUCUUUUGAUUGGUGAGUUGAGACCAUUAACAUUGAUGGUUAUAAGUGAUAAAUAUUGACUUAUCCUUGUCAUGAAUUUUUCUUUUUGUUGGUUUCUCCCCCUUUGCAUUUAAUUCCUUGUAGUGCCUGAUGAUUCAUUCUGUGGGGCUUCAUGGGGUUGUGAUCCUCAUUGUCUUUUCCUAGGAUAUUGUCUAAAAUUUUUUGGAGUGUUGGUUUUGUAUUCAUGAAGUUCCUAAGGUGAUCUUUGUCAUGAAAGUAACUUAUUUCUCCAUCAAUUUUAAAAGAUAGUUUUGCAGGGUACAUCAAUCUGGGUUGGAGGUUGUUUUCCUUUAGGGCUUGAAAUACAUCACUCUAAGGUCUUGUGGGUUUGUGUUGAGAAGUCUGCUGUGAUUCUCAUGGGAUUUCCUUUGUAUGUGAUUUGUUUCUUUUCUCUAAGUUCUUGUAGAAUUUGUUCUUCUCCUGGGUUCCUGGACUCUUAACUAUUAUAUGGCUAUGUGAAGAUUUUUUUUUUGAUCACAGCCAGUUUGAGUCCUAAAUGCCUCACUUUUUGCUAUGUCAAGUUCUUUUCUCCUAUUUGGGAAGUUUUCUGCCAUCACAUUUUUGAACAGCUUUUUUACUGUCAUCUGUACUCUCUCCUGUUUCUUCAUUGACUCCAAUCAGUCUUAUGUUAUUCUUCUUUGCAUCAUCUAGCAGCUACUAGAUUGAUUUCUAGUGAUUCCUUAGUAUUUUGAAGAAAUUUUUCUUUUCCUUGUCAAUAUUUGCCAUCCUAUCUUCUAUAUCUGAAAUUCUAUCCUCACAUUGGCUCAUUUUGCUGUGUAAACUUUCAAUGAAGCUUUUCAUUUUCUGAAAAUCACUUCACAUUUGAUUUAUGGUUUCCAUUUGUUUCCUAUGUUGGGAUUCCAUCAUGUUCCUCAGAUCCUCUAUUUUUUUAUUCUGUGUCCUCUCUAGAUUUAUUAAUCAUGUUUUGCACUAUGGGCACAAUCUCUGCUGUUAUCUGAGAAACUAUUUCUGAUUUCAUUUUUCCCAGAUCAUCUGUUGUUGCCAGUUCAGGAAGUCCAGGUGGUUGAGUAUCAGAGUGCUCUGUCUUGUUGCCCUUUGGGGUUGCCUUAGGUGAUCUGGCAGUGUGGUUUCGAGACUUUUUAAUGUGUCUUCUCAUUUCAACAAAUGCCGCCUGCUGCCUUUGUUGAGGCAACUUUUUGCUCACACAAUGAUGUUGAAUUCUCAGCAAGCUACCAAGAAGCCUUUAUUCUUCUGCUCCCCAGUACACCAAUUUCUUAGUUCAGAGUGGUGGUCUUCUGGACCCCUGAGCUGACCUGUUGUCUGGGUAGACUUCUGGCUGUGGCCUGUGUACACUUGGGAUGGUAUCUAGGUGUGCCUCUCACUGGGGCCCCUAUGUAGCUGUUGUCCAGGAGGGCCUUUGGCUGGGGCUGUGCACCCCAAUUCCUGUUGUUGGUGCAGGCUUUGGCUGUGGUCUCCAUGCACUUAUCAGUGGUAUCAGGGUGAGCCUCUGGGUAUCACUUGUGUGCCUGUGUAGCUCUUUUGCAGGUAGGUCCUUGGCUGUUCACAAUGGCAUGCCUGGCCUCUGGCUGAAGCUUGUGGACCUGUGCAGUUCUUUUCUGGGUGGGACUUUGGCAUGGGCACAUGUGCAGGAGCUUCUGGGGUUAGGAUGGAGCCCUGGCUGGGAUCCACCUGUAGCCAUGACAGUUUGGGUCUCACAUCUCCUCCCUGGGAUCUAUGCACACUUACUGAUGAAAUAGUGGGGCUCCUUAGUAUCACAAAAUUUCCUACUAGCUUUCAUUGGUUGUUUUCAUGCUUAUGCAGGUUCUUGAUUUCUCACUAAGGAAUUGGUCCAUGUAUUAUUGUUGAAUCAGUGUUUCUCUGAGGGAAGGAGGAUCUAAGGCUUCCUAUUUUGCCAUUUUGCAGAAGGAUGAGUGUAAUGCAUAAAAGAUUUAGAAAAGCUCCUGGCAUUCAAUAAGCACUCAACAAAUCAUAGCUUCUUUUCUUCUUCUGCCUUGUUGUUGAUAUUUUUUCCUUUACAUUGUCUUAUUUUUCUUCCAAAAUUCAGAAAGUAAUAUAAUGAGAAUUGCAAUAAGAAUAAAAAAUACUAGUACAUUGAAUUCAACCUUAAAAGAGAAAACAGAAGAACUAAAUACAAAUCACAUUUAUUUCUUCUAAAUCAAUAAAAUGCUAACAAGACAUUGUAAUUAUUGGUUCUGAUGAAAUUGGCCUGAGGUGCAUUGAUAGGAAGUAAGCAAUGAUGGCACUGUGUGACAGUUUCUGAACAGCAUAACUACCUAUGUUCUAAGCUAUUUCAAUACAGAAAGAACUGGACUAGCAAAACUCAUGAAACAAAUAAUAUCAAGCCAGAGACUCUUGGCAAACUAUAAGAGAGUCAGUUCUUAUUGAAAUCAAUUAAAUGCCAGGACUUCUGUGGUAAGACAGGGGUUACAUAAUUUUGAAUUUAUACUUGAAGAGGGUUUGUACAUAGGAGUGGCUUUGUAUAUUUAUAUUCUGUGAAUAAGUUGUAUAUCAUUAUGACAGUUUCAAAAGUAACACUAUAUGGAGGAUAUUUUAUAUGAACUGGAGGUCUUUAGAGAGCAAUAGAGGGCACUACUAAUAGCUGUGGCAGAAUAACAACUAGAGUACCCCAGAACUUAUCCUAAGGUCACUAAGAAAUCUCUCAUUUAUGUAUGGCAGAAGGAAGAUGUUAAAACUUGUGAGAUUGUCUUUUUCCUGGCUUUCUCCUGAAGCCUUCUCCACUUGGUUCUGUUUUUUUACAUGUCCCAACCUUUUUACACCUGUGGCAAUGACUGAUUAUCUAAUGGUAUAGAUAAGAGCAGUUUUAGUUUUUUUUUGGUACUCCGGAUCAAACCCAGGAGCUUAAGCUUGGGAGGCAGGCACAGUGCCACUGAGCUAAGUCCCUGGCCCUGGAGCAGUUUUUUUUUAUAACAUUAGUUUUAAAAACAAAAGAUUGUAACAGCAUGGAGUUAAAUAUUAGAUACUUUUCUCUAAAGGAAAGCAAACAUCACAGGAAGAAAACCAUUCAUCUUCAAUUGUAAUGAAGAACUUAGCAGCUAUAUUUGUUCCUAUGUGUCUAUUUCUUUCUCUACCUGUACAUUUAUUUAUCCUCCUCUUGACUCAAGCAGGCCCAUACUGUAUUAGUUAGGAAAAAUUACUCUUUGAUUAUAAGUUAAAGAGAAAUUCAAAGUAAGCAACACAGUGAGGAGGAAACCAUGAUAAUAGCCCUUCCUUUCCUCUAGCAUUUUUCUGUGAUGUGACGUUGAUAAUACAUAAUUACUUUUUAAACUUAAUGCCAAAUUCCUCGUGAAUCUUUAUAGUUUGCUUCUAUAUGAACCUAGAAACUCCUGGAAUUUACUACCUAGUUGGGCUUCCAUGGGUCUUGCAGAAUUUGAGAAAUAUGUCAUUAUUUAUUUUGAGUGAGAAAUUAUUUCAGUUUCUUGAGGUUGCAGGUCAGUUACAUGGCUGUGGUUUUGUGAGGCACAACUUCUCUUCAUGUAUUAUGUUCUCUUUUAAAGUUUUGAAAGGCAUAUUCAUGAGGUUCUGCUGUUCUACACAACAUAAUAGAAUCCUGGUUUUCCCUUUUUCACUGUUGAACAGGUGAUCUUUUUCUACCUUAUACAAGUGACCUUGAAAUGGAGGCACUGACCCCUGGGGGUUUUUUGUUUUAGAUCAUUGUAUUUUCCUCUGUAGAUUGAGAAGCCUAGUCAUGGAAUGCAUUGGUUUACUGAAGAUUCUCUGGAGUUUUGAACUAUGCCACUUUAAAUUUCCUGCAUUCUUUCUUUCUUUAUAUCCUUCUCCUCUCCCCCUGGAAUAUAGCAUCAAGGCAAGUUUUCUGAUGAGAAUGAAUGCAAAGAAUGUACCUCUCCAGAGAAAGGAAGUAUGAAUAAAACGAUCUCUGGUUUUCCAAAUACAGGAUGCUUUUUUCUUUUUGCUUAUUGAAAUUUUUUCUCCCUAACAGGUUACCUCUAAAAAACCUUUAUAUGAAACUAGCUGCAGCAAGGGCAUUAAAAAAGCCUCAUCUGUAUGGAAUCAUAUUUUGGAAAGCCUAUUAAAAAGCAGAAUUUUAAUUAAAAGAUCUUUGCAUGACUCUUAAAUCCUGGGUUAGUAUGAAUCUUCUUUCCUCUAUACCUUGUGGUGUAAAGGAUGGUUAGUAUGGGUAGAUGUAUGGUUACAGAAAGCUCAUUUAAGCCCAGAGAAGCAGGAUAGCAAAGUAGGAAACAGCCUCAGGUCAGAGUUGGACAUUCUUUUGUUUGAAUACCUAGACCUGUGCUUGCUGGGGAGACCUUGGGCAUGUUACCUAAAUUUUCUGGGUCAUAAUUUCCUCAUCUAUACAAUUGGGUAAUGAUUACGUACUUCUCAUUGGUGUUGUGAAGGUUAAAUGAAAUAGAGGAAUAAAGCCCAGUACUUGGUACAUCAAAGCAUUCAAUAAGUACAAGACAUGUUUUCUUAUUUAUAGCGUGGCAGUGCAGUCUGACCUUGCCAUACUUCUUGGCUCAUUUUUAUUCCACUGUGUUUUCUUUUGUCUGUACUAGGAAAAGUAAAGCCUCACACUACAAUGCAAAUGAAAUAUCUUGAAAGUUUGAGGGACCAUUUAUAUAACUAACCUGUAUUUUUCUUUUCUAACCCGUGUUCAUGUUUGUACUCUUCAAACUGUGUAUACAGCCAGAGAAUCUUUAAUAAAUUCAGUUCUCAAUAGCAACAACACACACAGGGUCAUGUAAAUCAACAUAAUGCCUUUUCUUUUAUUACCAAGAAGCUUGAACAUUGCUUCUCAAUAAAACUCAUACAACACUGACUUAUUAAAGAUGUUAUUUAACAUAAUUUUAAAUAUAGCAAAUAAUAGCUCACCCAGAAUGCUAUGUACCCAACAUGUGCUAAGUGCAUCAUGAAGAUUGGAUUUUUUGCUGGGUCUGUUGUAAUUUCACCCUUUUCAUUUCUAAUUGCAUGUAUUUGGGCCUUGUCUUUCCUUUUUCUGAUAAGUUUUGCUAAGGAUUUGUUAAUUUUGUUGAUUCUUUCGAAGAACCAACUCUUGGCUUCAUUGAUUUUUUUGUAUUGUUCGAUUGCAUUGAUUUCUGCCCUGAUCUUUAUAAUUUCCUCCCUUUUAUGAACUUUGGGUUUGUCCUACUCUUCUCUUUCUGUAAGCUUGAGGUUCAGCAUCAGGUUGUUUAAUUGGGCUCACUUUGUUUUCCUAAUAUGAGUAUUCGCUGGUAUGAUUUUCCCUCAUAAGACUGCUUUCAUUGUGUCUCAUAGAUUCUGAUAUGUUGUGUUGUCAUUGUCAUUUAUUUGAAGGAACUGUCUGAUUUCUUCUUUAAUGUCCUCUGUGACCCGUUGGUUAUUCAGAAGUGUGUUGUUCAAUUUCCAUGUGUUUGUAAAUGUUUUUGCAGUUUCUUUUGCUAUUGAUCUCCAAUUUCAUCACGCUAUGGUCUGAUAAUACACAGGGGAUAACUUCAAUUCCUUUUUACUUACCUAAAUAUGUUCUAUGAGGAAGUGUGUGUUCUAUUUUGGAGAACGACCCAUGUGCAGAUGAAAAGAACGUGUAUUCUGAUUUUGUGGGGUGGAACACUCUGUAAACAUCUGUUAAAUUCAUAUGUUCAAGAGUUUGAGUUCUAGUGUUUUGUUGUGUGUGACAAUGGCAUAUUGAGGUCCCCCAUUCCUAUCGCAUUAGUACUUAUAUGGUUUUUCAUGUCCUUUAGUAUUUGUUUUAUAUAGUUGGGUGCACUAGUGUUUGGUGUAUAGAUGUUUAUGAUUGUAAUCUCUUCUUCUUGGAUUUGUCCCUUUACAAGGAUAUAGUGUCCUUCUUUGUCUCUUAAUCAGUGUGGGUUUGAAAUCCACUUGGUCUGCAAAGAGGAUAGCUACUCCUGCUUAUUUUUGGGUUUCUUUCGCAUGGAGUAUUGUUUUCCACCCUUUAACUUUCAGUCUGUUAGUUUAAUUUUGAAUUGUUUUUUUUUUUGAAUGCAGCAUAUUGUUGGAUCUUGCUUCUUGACACAUUCUGCCAGUCUAUUUCUUUUGAUUGGUGAGUUGAGACCAUUAACAUUGAUGGAUAUAAAUUAUACGUAUCGAGUUAUCAUUGUCCUGACUUUGUCUUUUUGUUUGAUCUUCCCCCUUUGUUUUUAAUUUCUUGUAGUGCCCAGUGGAUUCAUUCUGCUGGGCUUCCUGGGGUUGUGAUCCUCAUUGUCUUUUCCUAGAAUUUUGUCUAAAAUUUUUUGGAGUGCUGGUUUGGUAUUUAGGAAGUUCCUAAAAUGCUCUUUGUCAUGAAAGUAUCUUAUUUCUCCAUCAAUUUUGAAAGAUAGUUUUGCAGGGUACAUCAAUCUGCGCUGGAGGCUGUUUUCCUUUAGGGCUUGAAACACAUCACUCCAGGCUCUUCUUGCUUUGAGGGUUUGCAUUGCAAAAUUUACUGUGAUUCUGAUGGGAUUUCCUUCGUAUGUGAUUUCUUUCUUUUCUUUAACUGCUUGUAGAAUUUUGUUCUUCUCUUGGGCUUCUGUAAUCUUAACAAUUAUUUGCCUAUGCAUAGAUUUUUUUUUGAUCAAGGCUAGUUGGAGUUCUAUAUGCCUUGCUUAUCUGUAUGUGAAAUUCUUUUCCCGUGCUUGGGAAGUUUUCUGCCAUCACUUCUGUAAACAGUUUUUUUUAGGUCAUCUGCACUCUAUCCUGUUUCUUCAUUGACUCCAGUCAGUCUUAUGUUAUUUUUCUUUGCAUUGUCUAGCAGCUGCUGUAUUGAUUCCUCAUGGUCCCUUACAAUUUUACAGAAUUUUUUCUUUUCAUAGUCACUAAUUGCAAUCUUAUCUUCUAUAUCAGAAAUUCUGUAUUCACAUCAGCUCAUUCUGCUGCAUGGACUUUCAGUGGAGUUUUUAAUCUCCUGGAAAUCUGUUUGCAUCUAUUUUAUGGAUUCAAUUUGUUUCCUAUGUUGGCCUUACAUCAAGUUCCUCAGCUCCUCUAUUUUUUUAUCUGAAUCCUCUCUAGAUUGAUUAAUCAUGUCUUGCACUAUGGGCACAAUCUUUGCUGUUAUGUCAGAAAUUAUUUCUUAUUUCAUUUUUUCCAGAUCCUCUUUCUUUGCUCAUUCAGGGAAUACACAUGGUUGAGCAUCAGAGUGUUCCAUCUUGUUUCCCAUUGGGGUUGCUGUUCGUGGUCUGGAAGUCUGGUUCUGAGGCUUGUUUACCUGUCUUCUCAUUACGAUGGGGUGGUGGGAUUCUGGGCACCCACGUGGCUUACCUCCUCUGUGCUGGGAGCUGUGGCAUGCCUACUCAGAAGACUUCUGCAGGCUGGGAGCUGCAGCACACCUACCCCGAAGCCUCCUCCUGGCUGGGAGCUGUGGCACUCUGACCUACAAGUCUUCUCUGGGCUGGGAGCCAUGGCAUGCUGACCUGGAGGCCUCCUCUGUGCUGGGAGCUGUGGCAUGCCUACCUGGAUGCCUCCUCCAGGCUGGGAGCCCUACAUGCCUACCUGGAAGCCUUAUCCACACUGGGAGCCAUGGCAUGCCUACCCGGAAGCCUACUCCUGUCUGGGAGCUGUGGCACACUGACCCGGAGGCCUCCUCUGUGCUGGCAGCCAUGACAUGCCUACCUAGGAGCCUCCUCCAGACUGGGAGCCAUGGCACGCUUACCUGGAAGCCUUGCCCAUGCUGGGAGCCUUGGCACGCCUACCCAGAAACCUCCUCCUAUGUGAGAGCUGUGGCAUGCUGAGCCGGAAGCCUCCUCUAUGCUGGGAGCUGUGGGAUGCCUACCCGGAAGCCUCCUCCAGGCUGGAGCCACUGCAUGCCUACCCAGAAGCCUUGUCCAUGCUGGGAGCCACCGGAUGCAGACCUGGAAGUUUCCUCUGGGCUGGGAGCCAUGGUACACCAACCUGGAGGCCUCCUCUGUGCUGGGAGCCAUGGCACAACUAUCCAGAAGCCUUCUUUCCUUUUUUUGAUAAGGUUGACUAGGGAUUUGUCAAUUUUGUUUUUCUUUUGAAGAACCAACUCUUGGCUUCAUUGAUUUUUUUGUAUCAUUCUCUUAGUCUCCAUUGGGUUGAUUUCUGCUCUUAUCUUUAUAUUUUCCUCCCUUGUGUGAACUUUUUGUUUGUUCUACUCUUCUUUUUCUAGAAGCUUGAGGUUCAGUAUCAGGUUGUUUAAUUGGGCUCAUUCUGUUUUCCUAAUAUGAGUAUUCAGUGCUAUGAAUUUCUCUCAAAAGACUGCUUUCAUUUUGUCCCAUAGAUUCUGAUAGGUUGUAUUACCAUUGUCAUUCAAUUGAAGGAACUGUCUGAUUUCUUCUUUAAUAUCCUCUGUGACCCAUUGGUUAUUCAGAAAUGUGUUGUUCAAUUUCCAUGUGUUUAUGAAAUUUUUGCAGAUUCUUUUGCUAUUGAUCUCCAAUUUCUUUGCACUAUGGUCUGAUAAUAUAGAGGAUAACUUCAAUUCCUUUGCACUUACUUGAAUAUGUUCUAUCAGUGAGUAUGUUGUCUAAUUUGGAGAACAACCCAUGUGCAGCUGAAAAGAAUAUGUAUUCUGAUUUUGUGGGGUGGAACACUCUGUAAACAUCUGUUAAGUCCAUUUGUUCAAGAGUUUGAUUGAGUUGUAGUAUUUCAUUGUUUGUUUUUUGUCUAGUUGAUCAGUCUAUUUGUGACAGUGGGGUAUUGAGGUCCCCCACUACUAUUGUAUUAGUGCUUAUUUGAUUUUUCGUGUCCAGUAGUAUUUAUUUUAUAUAGUUGGGCACACUAGUGUUUGGUGCAUAUAUAUUUAUGAUUGUUAUCUCUCCCUCUUGGAUUGUUCCCUUUACAAGGAUGUAGUGUCCUUCUUUGUCUCUCUUAAUCAGUGUUGGUUUGAAAUCCACUUGAUCUGAAAAGAGAAUAGCUAAUCCUGCUUUUCUGGGGGGUUUCUGUCUGAUGGAGUAUUCUUUUCCACCAUUUAACUUUCAGUUGAGUUUCUUUUUGAAUUAAGUGUGUUUCUUGUAUGCAGCAUAUUGUUGGAUCUUGCUUCUUGACCCAUUCUGCCAGUCGAUUUCUUUUGAUUGGUGAAUUGAGACCAUUAACAUUGACGGUUAUAAUUGAUACGUAUUGACUUAUCAUUGUCAUGACUUUUUCUGUUUGUUGGAUUCUCCCCCUUUGCAUUUAAUUUCUUGUUGUGCCUGAUGGAUUCAUUCUGCUGUGCUUCCUGGUGUUGUGAUCCUUGUUGUCUUUUCCUAGGAUAUUGUCUAAAAUUUUUUGGAGUGCUGGUUUGGUGUUCAUGAAGUUCCUAAGGUGCUCUUUGUCAUGAAGGUAUUGUAUUUCUCCAGCAAUUUCAAAAGAUAGUUUUUCAGGGUACAUCAUUCUGGGUUUGAGGCUGUUUUCCUUUUGGUCAUGGAAUAUGUCACUCCAAGCUCUUCUUGCCUUGAGUGUUUGCAUUGAGAAGUUUGCUAUGAUUCUGUUGGGCUUUCCUUUGUAUGUGAUUGGUUUCUUUUCUCUAACUGCCUGUAGAAUUUUAUUCUUAUGUUGGGUUUCUGGAAUCUUAACAAUUAUAUGCCUCUGUGUAGAUUUUUUUUUGAUCAAGGCUAGUUGGAGUUCUAUGUGCCUCACUUACCAGUUUGUCAAGUUCUUUUCUUCUGCUUGGGAAGUUUUCUACCAUCACUUCUGUGAACAGUUUUUUUAUGUUGUCUGCACUCUCUCCUGUUUUUUCCUUGACUCUGAUCAGUCUUAUGUUAUUCUUCUGUGCAUUGUCUAGCAGCUGCUGGAUUGAUUCCUCAUGGUCCCUUACUAUUUUAAAGAAAUUUUUCUUUUCCUGGUCAGUAAUUACAAUCUUAUCCUCUAUAUCUGAAAUUCUGUCUUCACAUUGGCUCAUUCUGCUGCAUAAACUUUCAGUGGAGUUUUUAAUCUCCUGGAAAUCUGUUUGGAUCUGUUUAAUGGAUUGCAUUUUUCCUAUGUUGGGAUUCCAUCAUGUUCCUCAGCUUUUCUAUUUUUUUAUCUGUGUCCUCUCUAGAUUUAUUAAUCAUGUCUUACACUAUGGGCACAAUCUCUGCUGUUAUGUGAAAAAUUAUUUCUGAUUUCAUUUUUUCUAGACCCUCUGUUGUUUCCAGUUCAGGGAGUCCAGGUGGUUGAAUAUCAGAGUGUUCCAUCUCGUUUCCCUUUGGGGUUGCUGUAGGUGAUCUGGAAGUCUCAUUUUGAGACUUGUUCAUGUGUUUUCUCAUUUCCACGGGGGUUGGGGUGGGUGCUCCUGGUGCCAGGUUGCUUAUUCCUCUGCAGUGGGAGUGGUGCUAUGGAGGUUCAAGAGCCUCCUUCUCUGUGCUGGGAGCAGUGGUAUGGCAGCCCAGAAAGUCCUCCUCUCUGGAUAUUAAUCUUUUGUUGAAAGAAUAUGACAAAGAUGUUGUCCCAUUUUAUAACUUUCUUUUUACUCUGUUGUUUCCUUUGCUAAACAGAAGCUUUUAAAUUUGAUGUAUUCUCAUUUGUUGAUUCUUGCUGUUAUUUCCUGAGCUAGUAGAGUCCUAUUCAGGAAGUCACUGCUUUGAGUAUAGCAGGAAGGAUUUCUUCUGUUUUCCUCUAGCAUUUUCAAAGUUUCAGAUCAUAAGGUCUUUGAUCCAUUGUGAGCUGCUUUUUUUGUGGAUUAGAGAUGUUUGUCCAGUUUCCAUCUUCUAUAGGUGGAUAUCCAAUUUUCCCAGCUCCAUUUGAUAAAAAGAUUGGCUUUUUUUCAACAUACAUUUUUGCAACCUUUUUCAACAAUCAGGUGACUGAUGCUUCGUGAGUUUAUUUUGGGGUCUUCUGUUCAGUUCCAUUGUUUUGUAUGUCUUUCUAUGCCAGUACCUUGCUUUUUUAAUAAUGAAUGUAGAGUGUAUUUUGAAAUUAUUGCUGUAAUAAUUCCAGCAUAGCGGUUUGUUCUGAGUUUCUGGUUAUUUGGGGGUUUUCUGCUUCCAUAUGAAUUUAGCAUUGAUUUUUCUAGUUCUGUGAGGAAUUAUAUUGGUAUUUUGAUGGAAAUUGUAUUUAAAUUAUUUGGCACUUUUAGUAGUAUGACCAAUUUAAUACUAUUGAUUCUUGCAAUCUGUGAACAUGGGAAAUCUUUCUGUCUUCUAGUGUCCUCUUCAAUUUCUUUCUUCAGUGUUUUAUAAUUGUCACUUUAGAGGUUUCUUACCACUUUGGUUAGGUUUAUUACUUUUUUGUUAUUGUGAAUGAAAUUGUUUUGAUUUCUUUCUCAGUGAAAUUAUUGUCAUUGUAUAGGAAAUUAUGAGGUUUUGUAUGCUGAUUUUUGUAUUCUGGUACUUUACUAAAUUUGUUUAUGAGAUCUAAGAGACUUUUGGUAGAUUCUUGGUUUAAAAUUAUAACACUGACAAAAUGGAUAGUUUGACCUCAUCCUUUCCUUUUUGUAUCCAUUUUAAGAAAAUAUUUGUUCUAAUAAGUAUUUCUUUCCAAGAUGAAGAGACUCAAAUCUAAAUAGAUUAAAUGAUUUUUCACAAGGCAUAAAAGGAGUGGCAAAAUUGAACUAGAAGUCCAUUUGUUUUAGUCCUGGGUGAGUGAUGCAAGGGCUGUGUUUAAUUAUUCCUACAGUGACACUUUUCACUAACAACAUGCCUUGCUCCAGCUUAGAUAUCUGUUCUAAUCCUUUCAGAUCCAGCACAAUAAAUUAAUUCAUCUGUUUGCUCCUAGUUGCUUAAAGAAAAUAGAAUUGUUAAACCAUCUAGACUAACUUCAAUCUUUUUGCAAGAGGACACAACCAUACUUUGUUUAAAAAUACUGAAGCUGGACAUCUUGAGAAAUUAGAGAUGAAGCAUGAAUCUAAGAAAUAAUAGAUUUUAAAGAAAUAGAUAAAAUAACCACUUGAGUGACAGAUUUAUGAGUUGGAGUCAAACUUAGCAUAUUUCAGUUAUGAGCCUCCAGUUAUUUUCAGUGACCCUGGCUGUAGGAUUGACUUUACAGGUGUCCUGUUUACAAAACAUUUUUUUUAACAGUGCAGGCUUCAGUGCCAAAGUUAUUGACAGUGUUUUAUGGGGAGAAGAAAAGCUGUCUGUGAUGAGAUUAGUGAUAAAUUAUAUUUAAUGAUUUUUCAAAUUACAGUUGUAUUAGAAAAUUGUUAUUUGACUUGUCCUGUUGAGUAAACAUAAACUGAGUUGUAGUAAAUCUUUUUCUACACUUCUUGAAACUUGAGGCAGGCAUUUCUUAUUUUGGAUGUAGAGGACUCAGUGGUAAAUUUCUUGGAACUUGGCUGCUUUCUCCAUGUCACCCAGAUUUGUUAGCCUACUUAGGUAUUUCAUGGGUAUUCUAAACACAGAGUCCUUACUUUCUACCUUCCAAAGAGAAACUUAGAUUGCCAACCCCCCACCCUCAACCUCUUAAAUGAAUGAAGUGUAAAAUUUCAGUAUAAUAGAAAAAGGAAAGACCCUUGAAUGGGGUUGACUAUGCUUUCCUAAGGUAAGGUAAAUCAUAUACACAUAAUUGAUUUCAAGGUUGAAAUUACUAUCUCAUAACUUCACACACAAAACAGAAUUCAUAAAAUGUUUUUAGGUUUUCAGAUUAGUGACACCUGAUAGGAAAGAUAAUACUAAAUAGAUACUUCCACAAGGCUAGAAAAUUAACUGAGUGUUCAUUGUGAAUGUCAGGUUUUCCUGGACACUGUUGUGUGCUGUAUGCUUGACCUUCCAUUGGCUGAAAAGGCCCAGUUUUUGUUCUGUGAAGCAACUUCACCAAAAUCUGCAUGUUUUAUCUCCUACUUCUGUGAAGACUGACCUGGAAGUUCAAAAAUAGCCCACAUUUUCCACAUGCAAGACUCAGCUUGAUGAUCUCACAAGACUACCUUUAUUUGUUUUGAAUUUAAAAUAAUCAGAAAGUAUACAUUCAGAUGAAUCACAGAACCAUGCAUGUCUGAUCUAGAAAGCGAAGUCUCAAGGUCACCUACUCGAGACCUUGCUUUCAUCACUGCCAUCUGGUCUUAUUUGUACUGAAGAUAUUAAUAGUGUUGACAUCCAAUGAUGACUUUUACUUUUGAAUUUAGGAUGUCCCUUUUAUUUAUGGAAAAACUAGACAGAAAAAGCAUACCAAGUUUCUCAGGACUUAAAGAAUGUUGAAGAGUAAUCUAAAAUUUGCCCUUCUGCGUGAGUUUUAUAAAGUAUCUAUUGAAGGUGAAAUGGUCAUGUUUUGAGGCACCAUCUUCUCUGAUAAAAUCCAUCCAUUCCAGAUGAAGGCAGUAAUGUUCUGUGGAGAUAGUCAAGAUGUCUCCUGGACUGCUGAGGCAGGAUUUUCUGUUACUUUUUAUACUAAUUCUACAAGUGUUGGCUUUCUUUAUAAAUUAUAGGAAUAAUGUUUUAAUAUUCCUUCAGAUAGGAAAGAGAAAGGAAAAAGGAGAAGUAGAGAGGGAGAGAGAGAGAUUGAUUUUAUAUUUUAAUGUACUCUACUGAAUAGGAAACUAUGCAGAUAUGGUUUCAAAUUUCUCUUAACACUGAUUGCAUUUUAGUUUUCAAUUAAAUUUAAUAGCAACAAUUGUUUGGGGUUAAAUUGUCAUAAAAGUAUACCACAAAAAUUCAAAUGAAUAGUAAGAAUUUUCUAAUUGAGGAUAAUCUUGUGUUUAAAAGAUGAAGUCAAGAAUGAGACCUAACAUUCCCCUUUCUAAGGUUACAUAUAUAUUUCAGAUAAAAUGGCCAUUACCUGCUCUGGCAGACAAGAAGAGAAGCAUCCUCUUUAUGUGGGGAAUGUGGUCUGACUUUUGCAUUUAGAAAAUGUCCAGGGGAAUCUGAAUGAGUUCCUUUAGGAACCAGGUUCCACCCAAUAGUUUUCCUCUCUUUUCCUUAUUUGUGGUUAUCAUCUUGGUAAGUGUCAGAGCUCCAGGAUUUAUACUACAGGAAGCAGCAAGAUGAAGGAGGGAUGAAAUGUUUCCUUUAUAGACAACUCUAGAAGGGGAUAACUUCACUUUUUAUUAUAAUCUUGUGCAUAAACAUUAGUCACUUGGUAAUAACUAAGGCAAAGUGGCUGGGAAAGUUAGUUCAUAUUCUGAGCAGUCAGAUGCUCAGCAGAAACCAAGGGUUCUACUCCUAAAAGGACACAGAGAGAAUCGAUAUGGGGGAAUAAUUAGCAGUCUCCUUGAUAUUAUUUGAUAGUAGUAUCCCUUGGGAACUUUAAAAAUACAUAAUCCUGGGCUACAAUCCUGAAAAUUUUGAUCCAGUGGUUCUGGUUUUGACCCAUUGGCAAAAUGAUUCCCACUUUGUAUCUUAUUGAUAAGGUAAAUCACCAGAAAUUUACAUUCCAGUAAAAUUUGCUUUUGUAGAAAAUCUAUUCCUUCAGCUUUCAAAGGGAGAGAUAUAUAACAAAUUGAUAUAUAUGAGGCAUCUUUGCACUUUUUUCUAUUGAGAACUUUCAUUAAAGAUAUUAUACACUAUAAUGUUCAGUCCUUGUAACUGAUUUCUUUUAACAUUCAGACCUAGGUAAACAUGUUUAAAUUAUACUCUAGAAUUUUUUCACUAGAAAAUUGAAAACAUGUAAUACACUGAAAUUUUCUCUUUGCCUGAGCUAGAAAGCAAAGAACUUUAUGUUCUGGCACUGCAGCUUUUCUUAGAAUUUGUGCAGAGGAUUUAUUCUAUUUCCUGAUCUUAAAUAUAUGAAAUAUUGUUGGACUUUGAUCUUUCCAUUUAUAUGCAUCUUUUAUAGGUUUCCUUAAAUUCAAAUUAGAUUUAUAUGAGACAUAAAAUAAUAAAACAGGAAUUUCUAACCUUUGUGUGUAUAGAAUAUAUGGUGAAACUGACAAUAAUAUUUAAUUUUUGAGUAAUUCAUUUGUGAGAACUAUGCUAUAAGCAUUUUAUAACAUCAACCUACAUAUCACCAAUCUGUGUAGUCCACAUAAAUCUUCAUCCCAAAGUGAUUUAGUUUUAGUGUAACAUAUGCAGAAACAUAGUCCAGUCUAACAAAUGUAAUUAAAAACAAGACUCAAGCUUUGAGACACAACUAAUUAAAUAUAGCAGAAGAUCCCUAAUCUCCACUUUCCCUUCAAAUUUCUUGGAUCCUUUAGAACCCAGCAGUUGCAAAAUUUCCUAAACUCUCUCUGACACUCAGCCAAUUUUCUUCCCUUCUCUUUUGGUUUUCUUAUUCAACACCGUGUCCUCUGCUUUUUAAGAGAGGACAGAAUUAAUUUCCACUCUCACCUACUGUUAGUUUAGGCAACUCUAUGGUUCCUAUGCUUUCCCACUUCCCACAGAGGGAAUUGCCUGACUCCUGGAUACAUCGAUCUCCUCUCGAUGGAUUCUCAGGCUGGUCAUACUGUUGAGGUAUUCCCAUUUUUAAUAAGGCACUAAGGUUUUGCAAAAUUAAGCAACCUCUUCAAAGUGACCUGGCUAAGAAUGAAGAUAUUAAAGUACAGGGACACAACUUCAGAGUCUCUGUGCUUAAACUGUAUUCUCUUGUUGCACCUUAUGGCAAGAGAGGGUGGCAUUUCAAAUAUAUUUUCUAGAAACAGUGUUCAUCCUUUCAAACUACUUAUCAUGUUUGAUUUUAAUUGCUCAAUUUUGUCUUUCAUUGUAUGCAUUGUAAGUUCAGUGAGAUAGUUUUGUCUUAUUUAGUACUGAAUUUUCACCAUUAUAUGCACUUCUGGGUACAGAAUAAGCAAAAAAUAUGAAUUAAUAAUCUGAUGAUUAUAUUAAAAAGGGGUGCAGCUUCCCCUAUAACUGUGAUUUGUCAUUAAUAGAGUACUUAGCUCUAUAAUCUCAAGGCUUUUUCAGAAAUAAAGAGUAGUUACUUGCCACAAAAAUAUAAGACCACUGGUAUAUACUUAUGAGUUUUCUUUCUUUCUUGGCUCAUAAAUUGAUUUUGAAGGACAUUUAAAAAGGAUAGUUUAAAAAUGUUUUAAGCAGUGACAACACUGUAUAUGCCAUAAUGGUAAAAGCACAGCAUUUUAUAGGCAGAAAGUUAAAAUAUGGAUCCUAGCUCUGAACACUCUAGGGUAAGAACACUGAAUAAUUUAAAUUUCAAAUUUUUCACUUUAAACUGGGGAUACCACUUGCAAUGGAUGGUUUAUUUGUUGGUACCAAAGGUGGGCUAUUGUGUGCAAAAUGUUUUUGAAAAAUCUCAAUAUUUUAUCUGAAUUAUUACAUUUUUAAAUUGUUAAAAUGUCAUGAAUAAUAACUAUAUCAUCUUUGGAUACAUAAAUGUACAAUAGUGCCACAUUUUAAAACUAAAAGUCUCAAGAGAAAAGGAUAUAGGGGCUUCAACUUUCUUCAUCUAUUUUUGAACAAUAACUAUGGGUGUUAUCAAGUGCAUUUUUAGUGAUAAUAUCCUAAGUUUAAUGAUACAUUCCUCACACCACACACUUUAUGGAGUAGUAAUACACCUUGAUUUAUAUAUAAAUAUGACAGCAAUGCCAUUCUAUAGUAUUGUAAGUAUUUUAAAAAGUAAAAAAUUAUUUAUUUCAGUAAACAUUUAGCAAAAUAAAAAUCAGAUUCCAAUUCUCCAUCUUGUUAAGAAAUAAAAUUUGGAAAAUAAACAUCUUCAUUUUGAUAGAACUAAACAGUUAUAGAUCUUUCAUAGUUUUUUUCUGGUUUUAUCAAGGUUUUAAAAAUCAUAUUUUAAAGAGUGAGCAUAAUGAAACAUAAUUAAGUUCCACCAAAUAAACAAUGAGUGCACUUCAACAAUGUCAGUAAUUCAUAAUGUGUAUUAAAUAAAAUUGAGACUCAAGACAAUUACUUUUAAUUAGGUUACAGAAUAUGAGCUAUAGAGAAGUGGCAAGCCUCCAUAGUGUACCGGCAAUUAUUUGAAAAGGUCACUGGAAAACAAAUAUAUUAAGAUCCAAUAGGAGAAUAAACACAGGAGUUUCUAAAAUAUGAAUUUUGAUGAGCUCUAAUUUCACAGUGCUUUACUAUUUUUCAAAUAUGUUCCAAUAAUGUGUUUUCACCUUUAUCCUAUGUAUUGCUGUGAAAUAGGCAGGUUUGCCAUAACACUUAUGCAAAAACAUAAUGCAGAGGAUGGAUGAUACCCUUGCACUUACUUUCAAAACUUAGUCAUCACCAAAAAUGUAUUUUGCUAGCAUAAUAUACAUUGAACUGGGACACAUGGCCAAGAAAACUAUCUUGCAAAUGUAUAUCAACUAAGUCACUGCCUUCUUGGGGUUUCCCUAUCACUUUUCUUAAGCUAAGGAUCUUCUUCUCAGGUUGUUUCAAAAUACAUUUUUUGUGGCUUUUCCUUCAUAUUCUUAGUUCUAAGAGCUCAUCUAAUUUAUUAUGCAUGUACUAACUGUAUAACUAUGAAAGCUUUAGGUACCAAUGCCUUUUUCAAGCAUCAUUUUUGUAAGAUAUGGACUCUCUAAGCUUUGAAGAAUUGAUUUGAUUAACCCUUUGAAAAGAAUUAGACCCACAUUUUGGAAUGAAGUACAAAAAUUGUAAAUCAUUAAGCACAAAUACAAAAAGACCAUAUAUAGAUAUAUCUUCUGUGUAACUUUUGGUGUAUUAUAAAUUAUCUCCUAAUUAGGUGUGAUCAAGACCAAUAUGUUUUUCCUGGUUCUAUUGAGGAACUUGUUGGAGGAGUGCAUUUUAUUUAGCAUCAUUUGCUCCUUCCUUUUCUGUGUCUUGCACCCAUUGUAUCUCAUGUGGUUCCAUGUCAUUUACAUUGGACAGGUAGAUUAGGGAACAUUUGUUUUAUUGCAACCAACAGAAAGAAAAUGACUGAGUAACUCAAGUAGAAAAUGGAGUCAUUGGAGGUUGCUACAUAUAAUUAAAAAAUAACUAAACAGUUGUGCUUCUGGGAGUCAGGGGCGAGGGGAAGAUCUGAGAUCUUAGUAACUGCUGUUCAUGGAGACACUUGGUCCCCAAAGGACUACAUGUCUUGUUUAAACUUCCGAUUCUCAGGAGAAAUGCAGGGAUUCAUCCAAUUUUGUUUCUAAUGUUCCUACUUCUGCAUCCAUCAUCCAGGGCCAAAAGUGUAAUGGAAUGGCACAAAUAUGGCAGGGUUGGUAUUGCUGGGAGCUAAGAUACACCUUAACUUUGUGUUUGUCACUGUUCUUCACUAUCAUCAGGUUGUUGAUAAGGUCAUUGGAAGGGUUUCUUUCCUUUACAUCAGUAAUUCUUUAAAUUUCAGAAUUUGAGCACCGAAUGCUUAUUAGGUUUUAUCAACAACUCAAUAUAUUUCUAUUUGUUAGUUUCUUGCUCAGAUUGCACAAUGCUGCAAUUAUGACUUUUGUCACCACUUAGGACAAACUGGUCCUUUUUGUACUUCUGGAGAAGGUGGACUCACUUUGCUUUUCAUGGAGAACAUAACUUUUGAGUUGAGGGCCAUCAAAAGAUUACUUUCAGGAGACAGUUCUUCUGACAGCUGUUCAUAUUCAGAUCAUGAUGGUAUCAACAAUGUGCAGAAAGCAGUUGGCCAUCUGAUGCCUCAGAUUCCUUCAUUAGAGUCAUUACCCAAGCUGCAGUGUGUAAGGUAAUUUUGAUUUGUGUAAGCCUAUGAGUUUAUUUGGGGUACUAAAAUGGCUUCUUAAUAUUAUGGAACCUUUUACUUCUUCCAGAGUCUAUCAAAUCUGAUCAUAUUGAUUAUAUUUUAAAUAUUUCCAUAAUUCUCUCUUUAAUACAUGGAGAUUAAAAACAAAAAUUACAGCAGAUAAUCUGAUACUGAAACUAUAUAUCUCUGGAACUUUCUUCAGCUGCUUUGUUUGCCCUGUAGUAGUUUACAGUUGAAUGAGAUUAAUAUCUUUUCUACUAUCAGAUUGUACAGAAUCUAAUUGUACACCUUUGUUGUUUCUGAUC